rnacentral:ncRNA from 1 species
AUUAUUCUUUAGCAAAGCAGCAGUGAUGUUGUGACGCAAAGCUAUAGGGUCUUGAUUAAGAUAGCCAGUUGCAAUU